rnacentral:rRNA from 6 species
GCGAUACAGGGUGACAGCCCCGUACACAAAAAUGCACAUAUUGUGAGCUCGAUGAGUAGGGCGGGACACGUGGUAUCCUGUCUGAAUAUGGGGGGACCAUCCUCCAAGGCUAAAUACUCCUGACUGACCGAUAGUGAACCAGUACCGUGAGGGAAAGGCGAAAAGAACCCCGGCGAGGGGAGUGAAAAAGAACCUGAAACCGUGUACGUACAAGCAGUGGGAGCCUCUUUAUGGGGUGACUGCGUACCUUUUGUAUAAUGGGUCAGCGACUUAUAUUCUGUAGCAAGGUUAACCGAAUAGGGGAGCCGAAGGGAAACCGAGUCUUAACUGGGCGUUAAGUUGCAGGGUAUAGACCCGAAACCCGGUGAUCUAGCCAUGGGCAGGUUGAAGGUUGGGUAACACUAACUGGAGGACCGAACCGACUAAUGUUGAAAAAUUAGCGGAUGACUUGUGGCUGGGGGUGAAAGGCCAAUCAAACCGGGAGAUAGCUGGUUCUCCCCGAAAGCUAUUUAGGUAGCGCCUCGUGAAUUCAUCUCCGGGGGUAGAGCACUGUUUCGGCAAGGGGGUCAUCCCGACUUACCAACCCGAUGCAAACUGCGAAUACCGGAGAAUGUUAUCACGGGAGACACACGGCGGGUGCUAACGUCCGUCGUGAAGAGGGAAACAACCCAGACCGCCAGCUAAGGUCCCAAAGUCAUGGUUAAGUGGGAAACGAUGUGGGAAGGCCCAGACAGCCAGGAUGUUGGCUUAGAAGCAGCCAUCAUUUAAAGAAAGCGUAAUAGCUCACUGGUCGAGUCGGCCUGCGCGGAAGAUGUAACGGGGCUAAACCAUGCACCGAAGCUGCGGCAGCGACACUAUGUGUUGUUGGGUAGGGGAGCGUUCUGUAAGCCUGUGAAGGUGGCCUGUGAGGGUUGCUGGAGGUAUCAGAAGUGCGAAUGCUGACAUAAGUAACGAUAAAGCGGGUGAAAAGCCCGCUCGCCGGAAGACCAAGGGUUCCUGUCCAACGUUAAUCGGGGCAGGGUGAGUCGACCCCUAAGGCGAGGCCGAAAGGCGUAGUCGAUGGGAAACAGGUUAAUAUUCCUGUACUUGGUGUUACUGCGAAGGGGGGACGGAGAAGGCUAUGUUGGCCGGGCGACGGUUGUCCCGGUUUAAGCGUGUAGGCUGGUUUUCCAGGCAAAUCCGGAAAACCAAGGCUGAGGCGUGAUGACGAGGCACUACGGUGCUGAAGCGACAAAUGCCCUGCUUCCAGGAAAAGCCUCUAAGCAUCAGGUAACAUCAAAUCGUACCCCAAACCGACACAGGUGGUCAGGUAGAGAAUACCAAGGCGCUUGAGAGAACUCGGGUGAAGGAACUAGGCAAAAUGGUGCCGUAACUUCGGGAGAAGGCACGCUGAUAUGUAGGUGAAGCGACUUGCUCGUGGAGCUGAAAUCAGUCGAAGAUACCAGCUGGCUGCAACUGUUUAUUAAAAACACAGCACUGUGCAAACACGAAAGUGGACGUAUACGGUGUGACGCCUGCCCGGUGCCGGAAGGUUAAUUGAUGGGGUUAGCGGUAACGCGAAGCUCUUGAUCGAAGCCCCGGUAAACGGCGGCCGUAACUAUAACGGUCCUAAGGUAGCGAAAUUCCUUGUCGGGUAAGUUCCGACCUGCACGAAUGGCGUAAUGAUGGCCAGGCUGUCUCCACCCGAGACUCAGUGAAAUUGAACUCGCUGUGAAGAUGCAGUGUACCCGCGGCAAGACGGAAAGACCCCGUGAACCUUUACUAUAGCUUGACACUGAACAUUGAGCCUUGAUGUGUAGGAUAGGUGGGAGGCUUUGAAGUGUGGACGCCAGUCUGCAUGGAGCCGACCUUGAAAUACCACCCUUUAAUGUUUGAUGUUCUAACGUUGGCCCGUAAUCCGGGUUGCGGACAGUGUCUGGUGGGUAGUUUGACUGGGGCGGUCUCCUCCUAAAGAGUAACGGAGGAGCACGAAGGUUGGCUAAUCCUGGUCGGACAUCAGGAGGUUAGUGCAAUGGCAUAAGCCAGCUUGACUGCGAGCGUGACGGCGCGAGCAGGUGCGAAAGCAGGUCAUAGUGAUCCGGUGGUUCUGAAUGGAAGGGCCAUCGCUCAACGGAUAAAAGGUACUCCGGGGAUAACAGGCUGAUACCGCCCAAGAGUUCAUAUCGACGGCGGUGUUUGGCACCUCGAUGUCGGCUCAUCACAUCCUGGGGCUGAAGUAGGUCCCAAGGGUAUGGCUGUUCGCCAUUUAAAGUGGUACGCGAGCUGGGUUUAGAACGUCGUGAGACAGUUCGGUCCCUAUCUGCCGUGGGCGCUGGAGAACUGAGGGGGGCUGCUCCUAGUACGAGAGGACCGGAGUGGACGCAUCACUGGUGUUCGGGUUGUCAUGCCAAUGGCACUGCCCGGUAGCUAAAUGCGGAAGAGAUAAGUGCUGAAAGCAUCUAAGCACGAAACUUGCCCCGAGAUGAGUUCUCCCUGACUCCUUGAGAGUCCUGAAGGAACGUUGAAGACGACGACGUUGAUAGGCCGGGUGUGUAAGCGCAGCGAUGCGUUGAGCUAACCGGUACUAAUGAACCGUGAGGCUUAACCUU